rnacentral:sRNA from 1 species
UCGCAUUAGGGAUUGAAGUGGAAAUCCUUUUUGAGCCCCCCAGCCCCCGAAGGGGGAGUUGUUGUACGGGAAUUUAUAUAAAUAUCUAAUAACACUGUAACAAAAAGAUUGCAACGAAAAGCCCGACCCGUA